rnacentral:rRNA from 1 species
CAGUAGCCGCGGGAAUACGUAGGGUGCAAGCGUUAAUCGGAAUUACUGGGCGUAAAGCGUGCGCAGGCGGUUAUAUAAGACAGAUGUAAAAUCCCCGGGCUCAACCUGGGAACUGCAUUUGUGACUGUAUAGCUAGAGUACGGCAGAGGGGGAUGGAAUUCCGCGUGUAGCAGUGAAAUGCGUAGAUAUGCGGAGGAACACCGAUGGCGAAGGCAAUCCCCUGGGCCUGUACUGACGCUCAUGCACGAAAGCGUGGGGAGCAAACAGGAUUAGAUACCCCCGUAGUCCCUGUCUCUUAUAC